rnacentral:rRNA from 1 species
CGUACACUCCUACGGGAGGCAGCAGUGGGGAAUUUUGGACAAUGGGCGAAAGCCUGAUCCAGCCAUGCCGCGUGCAGGAUGAAGGCCUUCGGGUUGUAAACUGCUUUUGUACGGAACGAAACGGCCUUUUCUAAUAAAGAGGGCUAAUGACGGUACCGUAAGAAUAAGCACCGGCUAACUACGUGCCAGCAGCCGCGGUAAUACGUAGGGUGCAAGCGUUAAUCGGAAUUACUGGGCGUAAAGCGUGCGCAGGCGGUUAUGUAAGACAGUUGUGAAAUCCCCGGGCUCAACCUGGGAACUGCAUCUGUGACUGCAUAGCUAGAGUACGGUAGAGGGGGAUGGAAUUCCGCGUGUAGCAGUGAAAUGCGUAGAUAUGCGGAGGAACACCGAUGGCGAAGGCAAUCCCCUGGACCUGUACUGACGCUCAUGCACGAAAGCGUGGGGAGCAAACAGGAUUAGAUACCCUGGUAGUCCCAUG